AACGAACGCUGGCGGCGUGCCUAACACAUGCAAGUCGAACGGGAAAACCCGCAAGGGUGAGUACAGUGGCGCACGGGUGCGUAACACGUGGGUAAUCUGCCCAGAAGCCCGGAAUAACUCCCCGAAAGGGGUGCUAAUGCCGGAUGAGACACGGGGACUUCGGUUCCUGGGGGAAAAGGUGGCCUCUGUAUACAAGCUAUCACUUCUGGAUGAGCCCGCGGCCCAUCAGCUAGUGGGCGGGGUAAUGGCCCACCAAGGCUACGACGGGUAGCUGGUCUGAGAGGACGAUCAGCCACACUGGAACUGAGACACGGUCCAGACUCCUACGGGAGGCAGCAGUGGGGAAUCUUGCGCAAUGGGCGAAAGCCUGACGCAGCAACGCCGCGUGUGUGAUGAAGGUCUUCGGAUCGUAAAGCACUGUCGGGAGGGACGAAUAAGGGCCGGGUGAACAAUCCGGUUCGACGACGGUACCUCCAGAGGAAGCACCGGCUAACUCUGUGCCAGCCGCCGCGGUAAAAC
rnacentral:rRNA from 1 species